rnacentral:rRNA from 1 species
CCCUUGAAAUACCACCCUGUUGUUAUUGAGGUUCUAACUUGGUCCAGUAAUCCUGGAUGAGGACAGUGUAUGAUGGGUAGUUUGACUGGGGCGGUCUCCUCCCAAAGAGUAACGGAGGAGCACAAAGGUACCCUCGGUACGGUCGGACAUCGUACCAAGAGUGUAAAGGCAAAAGGGUGCUUGACUGCGAGAGUGACGGCUCGAGCAGGAACGAAAGUUGGUCUUAGUGAUCCGGUGGUUCUGAAUGGAAGGGCCAUCGCUCAACGGAUAAAAGGUACUCCGGGGAUAACAGGCUGAUACCGCCCAAGAGUUCAUAUCGACGGCGGUGUUUGGCACCUCGAUGUCGGCUCAUCACAUCCUGGGGCUGAAGCAGGUCCCAAGGGUAUGGCUGUUCGCCAUUUAAAGUGGUACGCGAGCUGGGUUUAGAACGUCGUGAGACAGUUCGGUCCCUAUCUGCCGUGGGCGUAGGAAAAUUGAGAGGAGCUGCUCCUAGUACGAGAGGACCGGAGUGGACGAACCUCUGGUGCACCGGUUGUCACGCCAGUGGCAUGGCCGGGUAGCUAAGUUCGGACGGGAUAACCGCUGAAAGCAUCUAAGCGGGAAGCCU